GUCUUAAGCUAAAAAUAAUUUACAAAUUUUGUUCACAGGGAAGUCGAAGCAUAGCAAGAUAGGGCUCUUUUGAAAGCUUCUUCAAUUACCUUUCGAUUGACUUUAAACAUGACCUGCUUCAAAAUCUGACUGACAAAUGGGGACGUUUUUCGUAUUUUCGAAAUAUUUUUUGACUUUGGGGAAGUGCCGGCGCCGUGACGUGAGUAGUAUCGAACUUCUUUGUACCCUAUCUUAUACUCCCAUCUAUUCCUUACACUACAAAAAAAGAAUCACGAAAAACGGUUAAUUUUUCUCACGCCGUUUUUUCGGAUAUUUGAAACACUGUGAACCUA